AUUGAACGCUGGCGGCAGGCCUAACACAUGCAAGUCGAGCGGAUGAAGGGAGCUUGCUCCUGGAUUCAGCGGCGGACGGGUGAGUAAUGCCUAGGAAUCUGCCUGGUAGUGGGGGAUAACGUCCGGAAACGGGCGCUAAUACCGCAUACGUCCUGAGGGAGAAAGUGGGGGAUCUUCGGACCUCACGCUAUCAGAUGAUCCUAGGUCGGAUUAGCUAGUUGGUGGGGUAAAGGCCUACCAAGGCGACGAUCCGUAACUGGUCUGAGAGGAUGAUCAGUCACACUGGAACUGAGACACGGUCCAGACUACUACGGGAGGCAGCAGUGGGGAAUAUUGGACAAUGGGCGAAAGCCUGAUCCAGCCAUGCCGCGUGUGUGAAGAAGGUCUUCGGAUUGUAAAGCACUUUAAGUUGGGAGGAAGGGCAGUAAGUUAAUACCUUGCUGUUUUGACGUUACCAACAGAAUAAGCACCGGCUAACUUCGUG
rnacentral:rRNA from 1 species